AGGUCCCUUACUUUGUGGAGUUCUUUCCCGUGAGCCUAGAUCUUCAGAGAUGGAAGUGGAUACUCCUCCGUAGGAGCUGCUAUUUGUUUUAUUGGGAUAAGCACCUGGCAAAGAAGGACCAUUCGAAAGGAACUUCUGAGGAAACAAAUCAGAACAGACAUCACUGAGGAUCAACACUUCUACAUUACUAACACCAUUGCCUCCUAAUCUGAUGUUGAAGUUUGGAAAAUGCUGAAUAAAGAAGUCUGGGGAUGUUCUGUCUCCAAAGCAUGGCAUACCCAAGCGUAAUGCAAAGCCUUCUCUACCUGCCUUUCCCCUUAGGCUUAAU
ensembl:lncRNA